rnacentral:rRNA from 1 species
CCUACGUGAGGCUGCAGUAGGGAAUCUUCCACAAUGGGCGAAAGCCUGAUGGAGCAACGCCGCGUGGGUGAAGAAGGUCUUCGGAUCGUAAAACCCUGUUGUUAGAGAAGAAAGUGCGUGAGAGUAACUGUUCACGUUUCGACGGUAUCUAACCAGAAAGCCACGGCUAACUACGUGCCAGCAGCCGCUGUAAUACGUAGGUGGCAAGCGUUAUCCGGAUUUAUUGGGCGUAAAGGGAACGCAGGCGGUCUUUUAAGUCUGAUGUGAAAGCCUUCGGCUUAACCGGAGUAGUGCAUUGGAAACUGGGAGACUUGAGUGCAGAAGAGGAGAGUGGAACUCCAUGUGUAGCGGUGAAAUGCGUAGAUAUAUGGAAGAACACCAGUGGCGAAAGCGGCUCUCUGGUCUGUAACUGACGCUGAGGUUCGAAAGCGUGGGUAGCAAACAGGAUUAGAUACCCUAGUAGUC